AGUGAAAUGAAGAACUUUGUCUGAAACACAUUAUAUCUCCCAGACUGGAAGGUUUCACCUUUCAUUCCUGGUUUUUCUCUCAAGGGUAUAAAACACAGGCAGGUCGGACGUCUUUGUUUCAACACAGUUCUGUCAUGACCAGAACAUUGAAGUAUUGACGCUCCACAAAUCUACAUUUUAGACCUACUAGUUUUACAUUUAACUGGAAAUCUUGGAACAAGGUGUCAGCAGGACAAUGAGGAGCCAUUGUGAGAGGUCACCCCUGCGGCUGAUAUCCGUCUUGGUCAUCACUGUGUGUGUCAUCUGGGCAACAGCUGCAGGUGACCAGACUCCAGACUUUAAACCCACAGAGGCCGAAAAUACUGCUACAGCCAAUGAAAACAACACACACACAAUCAACCGCCCUGUAACACACACAAUCAAUCGCCCUAUCACACACACUCCAGACACCCCGUCUAACACACACACUCCAGACACCCCGUCUAACACACACACUCCAGACACCCCGUCUAACACACACACUCCAGACACCCCGUCUAACACACACCCUCCGGACACCCCAAUAGCGCACAGCAGCAGUCAAACAGACAGGUGAGCUACAAAACAGUUUGAAAAUGGUUUCAGCAAAUUAUAUAUUUUUUGCAUUUACUUUGUUCAUUUACACCCAAAACUAGAAUGUGUUUCGUCAAUAGUACAUUUUGUUACAUCAGUUCCGGUUGUUAGAUCAGUUCCGGUUCAUAUACACCCAGACUCUGGAGACUAAAAGAGUAUCGAGUGGGAGUUACUGACAUAUACACCCAGACUCUGGAGACUAAAACAGUAUCGAGUGGGAGUUAUGUAGUCUACCAACGUCAUUGAAGACAAUUUUUCUGUUUUCAAAUUGAGAAAGAGACAGAGAUUGACAGUUUUUCAUGACUCAAGUCAGCCUCUUAAAUUUGAAAGAAAAAACUAAAGGAAACACAAAUAGUUUCUUUAUUUAAUCCGUAAAUACAGCAUCAAUAAUUAUAUAAUUGUCAAAGUUCAUAUUAAACUGGAAUAUUUUUUAAAUCCUGUAAUAAGUGCAAACCGUUAAAACCACCUAUUUACCCCACUUGGUCUUAUUACGGAAACAGAUAAGAAGCAGAAAUUGGAAACAGUCAGAUGAAUAAAUAAUAAUUGUAUUUAAAUUAUAAUUC
rnacentral:lncRNA from 1 species